rnacentral:rRNA from 1 species
AUUGAACGCUGGCGGCAGGCCUAACACAUGCAAGUCGAACGGUAACAGGAAGAAGCUUGCUUCUUUGCUGACGAGUGGCGGACGGGUGAGUAAUGUCUGGGAAACUGCCUGAUGGAGGGGGAUAACUACUGGAAACGGUAGCUAAUACCGCAUAAUGUCGCAAGACCAAAGAGGGGGACCUUCGGGCCUCUUGCCAUCGGAUGUGCCCAGAUGGGAUUAGCUAGUAGGUGGGGUAACGGCUCACCUAGGCGACGAUCCCUAGCUGGUCUGAGAGGAUGACCAGCCACACUGGAACUGAGACACGGUCCAGACCCCUACGGGAGGCAGCAGUGGGGAAUAUUGCACAAUGGGCGCAAGCCUGAUGCAGCUAUGCCGCGUGUAUGAAGAAGGCCUUCGGGUUGUAAAGUACUUUCAGCGGGGAGGAAGGGAGUAAAGUUAAUACCUUUGCUCAUUGACGUUACCCGCAGAAGAAGCACCGGCUAACUCCGU